UUCGGGGGCCGAGUAGAGUGGCGUCCGGGUGAGUAACACGUGAGUAAUUUGCCUUCGGGUGGGGAAUAACAACCGGAAACGGUUGCUAAUACCGCAUAAUGCAGCGGCACCACAUGGUGACAGUUGUUAAAGCGGGGGAUUCGCAAGAACCUCGUGCCUGAAGAGAAGCUCGCGGCGGAUUAGCUAGUUGGUAGGGUAACGGCCUACCAAGGCGACGAUCCGUAGCCGGCCUGAGAGGGCGGUCGGCCACACUGACACUGACACACGGGUCAGACUCCUACGGGAGGCAGCAGUCGGGAAUUUUGGGCAAUGGGCGAAAGCCUGACCCAGCAACGCCGCGUGAAGGAUGAAGUUUUUCGGAAUGUAAACUUCACAAGAAUGGGAAGAAUAAGUGGGGGAUAAUACCCCCCACGAUGACGGUACCAUUUGUAAGCUCCGGCUAACUCCGUGCCAGCAGCCGCGGUAAUACGGGGGGAGCAAGCGUUGUUCGGAUUUACUGGGCGUAAAGGGCGCGUAGGCGGCGCAACAAGUCACUUGUGAAAUCUCCGGGCUUAACUCGGAGCGGCCAAGUGAUACUGUCGUGCUAGAGUGCGGAAGGGGCAACUGGAAUUCUCGGUGUAGCGGUGAAAUGCGUAGAUAUCGAGAGGAACACCUGCGGCGAAGGCGGGUUGCUGGGCCGACACUGACGCUGAGGCGCGAAAGCCAGGGGAGCGAACGGGAUUAGAUACCCCGGUAGUCCUGGCCUUAAACGAUGGAUGCUUGGUGUCCGGGGUUACAUAGUCCCCGGGUGCCGUCGCUAACGCCUUAAGCAUCCCGCCUGGGGAGUACGCACGCAAGUGUGAAACUCAAAGGAAUUGACGGGGACCCGCACAAGCGGUGGAG
rnacentral:rRNA from 1 species